UAGAUGCGAGAGUAGAGCAUAUCAAUAAGCGGAGGAAAAGAAACUAACAAGGAUUCCCUUAGUAACGGCGAGUGAAGCGGGAAGAGCUCAAAUUUGAAAUCUUCAAGGUUCUACCUUGACGAAUUGUAGUUUAUAGAAGUGUUUUCUGUUGAAGUUUUGGUAAAAGUUCUUUGGAAUAGGACAUCAUAGAGGGUGAGAAUCCCGUAUUUGACCAUUAUUUCCAGCUGUGUGAUACACUUUCAAAGAGUCGGAUUGUUUGGGAAUGCAGUCCAAAAUGGGUGGUAAAUUUCAUCUAAAGCUAAAUAUUGGCGAGAGACCGAUAGCGAACAAGUACCGUGAGGGAAAGAUGAAAAGAACUUUGAAAAGAGAGUUAAACAGUACGUGAAAUUGUCAAAAGGGAAGCGUUUGACACCAGUGUUGUUUUCUCGAAAAUCAAUUAAAAAUGAUGGGAUUUUGUGUUGUAUUGACUUUAUCAGCUUUCUGCACUUUUUUCUUAUCUUUUUUAAUGCACUUUUCGUUUAACAAGUCAACAUCAGUUUCUUUUGUUGUAAAAGGGUCAUUGGAAGGUGGCUUUCUUUUCGGAGAAAGUGUUUAUAGCCUUUGAUCUCUGCAACCGGAGAGACUGAGGUCUGCAGCGUAGACUCUUCGGGGUUAGAUACAUUUGUGCUAAGCUAUAGCUUUUCAUAGACAACUUGUUGACUAUAUUUAGUCUUGUGGCUUACUCGCUUAUGCUAUUUUACCUACGCUUAGGAUGUUGACACACGCGCGUGCUCG
rnacentral:rRNA from 1 species